GAUGAACGCUAGCGGCAGGCCUAAUACAUGCAAGUCGGACGGGAUUCAGGGAGUAGCUUGCUACGAACUGAUGAGAGUGGCGCACGGGUGCGUAACGCGUGAGCAACCUACCCAUAUCAGGGGGAUAGCCUCUCGAAAAGAGAGAUUAACACCGCAUAACAUCAUUUACCGGCAUCGGUUUGUGAUCAAAAUAUUUAUAGGAUAUGGAUGGGCUCGCGUGACAUUAGCUAGUUGGAGAGGUAACGGCUNACCAAGGCUACGAUCAAUAGCUGAUGUGAGAGCAUGAUCAGCCACACGGGCACUGAGACAGGGCCCGAUCCUACGGGAGCAGCAGUAAGGAAUAAUUGGGC
rnacentral:rRNA from 1 species